AUUGAACGCUGGCGGCAGGCUUAACACAUGCAAGUCGAGCGAGCGGCGGACGGGUGAGUAAUGUCUGGGAAACUGCCUGAUGGAGGGGGAUAACUACUGGAAACGGUAGCUAAUACCGCAUACCAUCAGAUGUGCCCAGAUGGGAGUAGAUAGUAGGUGGGGUAAUGGCUCACCUAGGCGACGAUCCCUAGCUGGUCUGAGAGGAUGAUGAGCCACAGUGGGACUGAGACACGGCCCAGACUACUACGGGAGGCAGCAGUGGGGAAUAUGGCACAAUGGGCGCAAGCCUGAUGCAGCCAGGCCGCGUGUAUGAAGAAGGCCUUAGGGUGGUAAAGUACUUUCAGCGGGGAGGCGUUACCCGCAGAAGAAGCACCGGCUAACUCCGUGCCAGCCGCCGCGGUAAUUC
rnacentral:rRNA from 1 species